ACAUACAGUAGUAGGAAGGAAACUGGACCGACCCUUCGGGGAGCUUUGUACAGGUGCUGCAUGGCUGUCGUCAGCUCGUGUCGUGAGAUGUUCGGUUAAGUCCGCUAACGAGCGCAACCCUCGCUGUGUGUUACAAGUGUCACACGGAACUGCCGGUCAUAAACCGGAGGAAGGUGGGGAUGACGUCAAGUCAGCAUGGCCUUUAUAUCCUGGGCUACACACACGCUACAAUGGGAAGGGACAAUAGGUUGCGAAGCCGCGAGGCGGAGCCCAUCCAGCAAAACUUCCCUCAGUUCAGAUUGCAGGCUGCAACUCGCCUGCAUGAAGUUGGAGUUGCUAGUAAACGCAGGUCAGCCAUACUGCGUUGAAUACGUUCCCGGGGCUU
rnacentral:rRNA from 1 species